rnacentral:rRNA from 1 species
UUUUUAUGGAGAGUUUGAUCCUGGCUCAGGAUGAACGCUGGCGGCGUGCUUAACACAUGCAAGUCGAACGAUGAAGCCCUGCUUGCAGGGUGGAUUAGUGGCGAACGGGUGAGUAACACGUGAGUAACCUGCCCCCGACUUUGGGAUAAGCCCG